rnacentral:tRNA from 1 species
GGGUAGCCAAGCCUGGUCAAAGGCGCAGGGCUUAGGACCCUGUCCCGUAGGGGUUCGUGGGUUCAAAUCCCACCCC